AUUAUAAUACUUUCAUGUUUAUUUUCCACUGAACUAAGCAUCUAUCUUCACCGUCGUCCCGGCCUCUCGAUUUGCCUCGGCGGUUUGGUUGCUCUCAUUGCCGUACUAGUCAGCCCUUCAUCUCCCUCCUUUUGCGGCGGAAGGCGGGCACUUUGUUGAACAUCGCUUGCGGAACUUUAACUUUUAAAAAGCCGCACUGACCGGGGAACUAGGGUUUUGGGGUCUGGCUGGUUGAAAGCACUGCACACUGGCCUUUGCACGAUGUCUGGGGCUCUUUUCCAGGAUUUCUGCUGUCAGUUUGAUCUCGGGCUCCUUCCUAUCCUGUGAAAGAGGGAGAAUUGAGGGGGGUAAGAAAAUUUUCAAGCAGUUACUAGGCAUUGUGGGCAUGGCUACUGCAAAUGCAAGUACUAGCUCAAAGAAUGCUAGGAAGAAAGAAGUAAAGAAAGAAACUGGACUGGGUUUGACCUAUAAAAAGGAUGAAUCAUUUGGAGAAUGGUACUCUGAGGUGGUUGUUAACAGUGAAAUGAUUGAGUACUAUGACAUCUCUGGCUGUUACAUCCUACGACCAUGGACAAUGUCAAUUUGGGAAACCAUGCAUGUAUGUGUUUGAUUUCGCUAU